GCAGUCAGACCUAGCCCGCGCCCCCGUAGCCGCCUCCUCUCCUGCCGCCGCCGCCUCGGCCUUGUUCGCCUCCUCUCCUGCCGCCGCCACCGCCUUGGCCUCGGCGCCCAUGCUCUCCCGGCGCCCGUCGGCCUCGACCCGGCCUCAGUAGGAGGAGCUCGGCCUCGAGACUCGGCAGGAGGAGCUCGCCCUCGAGUAGGACUCAACAGGAGGAGGGGAGCAGCAGCUGCGCCCCAUGCUCUCUCGCCACCCUCGAGGUGAAGGUAACGGAUGAAAUCCCAUGGACGAGCUCGAGCUGGAAGGACGCGGACGGCAGCGGCUUGGACCAACAUCGUCCUGCCGGUGCCUUGCCGGUGAGCGCCACGCAUGGUGCAGCAGGCGGCAGGCACGACUUUGGGAGCUGCGCAUCGAGCGACGACUACUGCAUCUGCCUCCAGCACCAAGCCAAGAUGUAGAGCGGUGGUCGACGGCGGCAACCUGCUCCCAAGUUGCAAGUGAUGUUGCCAGAUAGCAGUAUACCAAGGGUUCUAAGAAUUUGAUUCAUAAAUGUAGCCAAGAUGCAGCGCGGUGGUCGACGGCGGCGGCCUGCUCCCAAGUUGCAGGUUGCUAAUGCUGUUCAAACAGGUGCGUGCAUGGACAUCUUCAUGAUUACUGAUUAUAAGAUCUUCAUGAUUACUGAUUAUAAGUGAACACACGUAUCUUCUCUCGAGGUUCUGAGUGUUGAGAGUGGUUGCUCAUUGUUUCUGUAUUCAAAUACUGAUGAAUCAACACUUCCAAAAGAUAUACUGAUGGCCAAAGAAGAUUGGGGAAGUUCCACUAUGUUCCUACAGACUGUUGGCCAAAAAAGAUUGGGGGAAAAUAGCUCUGGAGAAGGAUUGAGAUGAAAAUGGGAUUGGGAUCUCACUUCGCAAUGCAUUGAAGAAUCAUGGUAGAACUUUUUAUAUUGCUGACUGAGAUGGCAAUUAGGAUUUAUUGCUUUUUACUAAUUUUUUAUUUUUUCUACUUUGCUCAGAUAAUUUAUACAGCCUGUUCUUUCUUUAGUACCAAUGAAUAACUUGGUUACACAAUAUACUUGAAGAUUGCAUUAGGAACAAAAUGCUUAGCAGACCAAACUAAUUAGGUAAGCUGAGAGCUGAUUGGUCUAACCCUAGAAUAAUUGGUUGCCAGUCAUAGAAUCAUCUUGUACUGUUGUACAUAACUAAUUUUGACUUGAACUUUGGUGUGGUCGUGUAUCUUUGAAGUUUUCUGGAGACAGACUACUCUUGCAUCAUUAUGUGCAACCCACAUGUAUCUCACUCGGCGAGACAUGCACACCUAUGCCACAUCUUUACAUGUAAGUUUGUUUUGCUUAGCCAUGGACAGUGAGGUCCCCCUUCUCUUCAUUCCCAGUUCAUUUAUUUAAUAUCAAUAUCUUUACUCUAGGAUUUAUGUCCUUGCCAACUCUACAAUUGUUCAUUGCACACUCAGAGUCUAGAUAUUGAAUUAGCUACUUUUGCGAUCCCUGGACUAUACGAGUCAAGUAUUUCUGGAUUGCCCAUUUUUCAGCUGAGUUAAGGCUUUUUCUAUUGUUUGCAAAUGAAAAUUAUUUGAUGUACCCCUGGUAUGAUACAAGAAGAGUUUGCUCUUUCCCUUUGUAAAAUUUUCUGCACACGAUGUUGUCGAGGAUGAUUUCAGAAUUUAUAUGCUCAUUGCUUCCAUUGCUUCUUUCCCCAUUAACUGAUAUUAGACAGUGGUCUAUAAAUGUUGCACCUAACUCUGUUUUCCAAGGAAAUACGAAUGAAGUUAUAGUACUUGCAAACUGCGACUCUUCGCUGAACAAGAAAAGUAAAAAUGAUAACAUAUCAGGCAGUAAAAUUACAUGGCUGAUCUCUGUUUUGUGCAUGUCAGGUGAGCAUUAUGAGUUGUUCUACUUCUCUUAAGAGAGUGUACUUUCCUCUCAUCAGAUGCUCACUCUGGAAUAAACAAAUCUUUUGGGAUGUAACCUGUUCUUAGUUUUGAUGCCUUACCGUCUGCCUUCUCCUCUCCUUUAUGUUGUUUUUUGUAAAUUAUUUGUCUAGGCUACUACCAUAACUUGUUGGUUUAGUUUAGGUGUGUAGGAAAAAUUUGCAGAUGAAUCACGCUAUCAGGUUUAGGCAUGCACAUGGCCACUAAUAAUAAUAAAAAUUGAUAUUUGAUGAAGCCAUCAUCAUGUCAUGUAAUUACUUGCAGAACAACUAUAUUAUUUUUUGGGGCGGUAAAGCGGAAACGAUAGGACUCUGCAACUCAUGUGAGUGUUGUUUGAUUAUUUACUUUUUCAAGCGUGUGGAUGUCGUUGGCAUGUUUAGUAUACGCACGAAGAUAUGCAAACUGUAAAAGUGGUUUCCUGGCGUCAUAUUUUUUUCUCCUGGGAACGAAUGAACUGUUCGUCAGGGAGCGAUCACCCCACCGAACGUUUUUGUUCGAUCUGGGGGAGGAGCUGGAGCGAACGAUUCACCCCAGGCCCCCAUGCAAACAGUUGCCCAUGCAGGCAAAAAUAGAACCCUGAUUGGGCCUUUACGACCUCCAAUUAGGCCAAAAAAUGGCCCAGUUUUUUGUGACGCCUCAACACUUGGGUCAUCACUCAAGGUUAUCGCUUUUGAGUUUCAGGUGAUAUUUUUUUAAUUGAUUUUUAGGAAAUCAUGAUGCUAAAUAUAUGGAUUGUGUCAGUUAGCUAAUCUAUUGGCUCUUUGAUGUGUAUGAUGACAUGAUGGCAAUGAAAAUACAUUUUCGAACUGAAAGUAUUUGUGUAGUUUAAUUUUGACAGAGUAUAGGAGCAUACUCAAUGUCUUCCGCUUUGUGUAUGAUGGCGGCUUUUCUUGCUUAUAGUAAUCAGCUAAAUAAAUAUGUGGGCAUUUAAAAAUAUCUUUGCAAUUAGGCCAGGCGUGAGAAAAAAAAUUCAAAGACGACGAUCUCUUUUGGUGUAUUUCUAUUCUCCCUGUUCCAAAUCUUUUUGUUUGGAUGCCACCGGCACACCACAUGUUGUUCUGAAGAUAUCAUGCUAUGGGACUUUUCAGCAGAAUCAAAACAAAAGGAAGCUAUGGUGUUACUUGCAUCUCAGUUUUCACAUUCUUCUCAGGUUUCACAAAAACAUAAACAUGAUUGGAUGGGCGUCCUUGCCGGCGACCUCGCUAUCUCCAACCCAUCCACAGGUAUUGCAGCUCCUUCUCAUCCAAUUUAUUCACUUUUCGUCCUCUUUGCUGUGAUUUGGUGGUUGAAAUUAAUUCGUCUGGAUAGGGAGGAGCAAUUCACUAAUCAUUUACACCAUGUAUACUUCAUUUUAUUUCAUGUAUAAUCUGUAUAAGAAAGAAAAGUGGGGUAGCUCCUCCGUUUCAGUGCUUUAGCCUGAAAAAUAUUGAGUUUCCCUUCAGAUAAUUUGAGUGAUGUUGAUAUGAUAGUUAAUCAUAUAACCUCCAUUUCAUGUAUAACAUUACUUGAAAAUUUAUAGCAUGUGGAUCACCACAAAGAAUAAUCUCCCUUUAGAUAAUUUGAGUGGAUACCCAUUUGAUAGUUAAUCAAUUAUGCUAAUAACGAGGGCGUCCGGACCAAUCUGCCUGCCUCCAAGAGCGCCUUUUUUAGGGGUAUCAUGACAACCUGUGUAUUUCCUGUGAUAGGUUGAUGUAGUAGAUCUGAAUUUAUGGGAUUGGUUCUGAAAUUUGGGAUUCGGUGACUCUGCAUUUUAGAGUAGCGGCAUAAAGCUAUAAGAAUACCCAUGUUCUGAAUUUAUCUUUAGCCUAUGCUUCAGUUCAGGUGCAUUCUUCUUGAUUGUAGUCGGUGUUGUGUUGCUCCUGCGAUAAGUUGUUAUUUGGAUUUACGGUAUUAAGUUACCUCUUUCUCUAUUUGUUUUGUUUGGUGCUUGUCUUGCCAUAGAAAUUGCGCACCUGAACAUGCCCUUUUUUGUACCAUUUUUGCAAUAUUCAUCAAAAGAACAUAUGCAAUUUACUGAUUCUGUAUACCUUGUUCGAUCAGUGUUGUCAUGGUUCGCCUUCUCCUUCAAAUAAGUUUAUCAUGCCCUAUUAGUUUGCAUCUCGUGCUGGUUUGUGCUUAGAUAAUCCCUUUAGGUGUGUAAGUUCUACACAAUCAUAUGACUUAUAGAAUGCCAAAAUCUUCAGACCUUUUCUUCCGUAGUUUCUCCAAAAUGUACUAUGGUAACUGCAGGCAUAAAUCCAUGGUUUGCAUACUUCAAUGGCCCAUCUGCUUGUUAUUUUAAUGCAUCCUCUCUUGAUUCAUUUUCGUUUGACUGGAUCUCCUCGCCUUGUCAUCUGAUUGCUCUUCGUUUGCUGAUCUGCUUACCAAGGUUGGUGUUUGCUCUUUAAAAUUCCCUAUUACUCCCGGUCUUUCGUAUUGGGUGCCUAUUUCAAUUUCACUUUAUGAAGUAUUUCACUGAUUACAUAUAUAUCGCCUAUCUCACAACGAGUUCACCUUCUGUACCUACUUUGGUGAACACAUGUAUUUCAUCUAUCUCACUCAUUGUCAUGCCUACUUCAGUUUCACAUAUCUAAAUAUGUGUGAUCUGGUCACCUUAGGUUGAGUUACAUGCAUUUUGUUGCACACUCUUUUUUCGAUCUAUUUCGCCCUAUAGGAUGCAUUUGUUUUUCUUGUUCUCCUUUUGUUCUUGUGCCAUUUUCAUAACUGGGAUCAUAACACUCACUCUUUUUUGGGUGUAAUAUAUGGUCACCCAGAAAAUACCAAAGGAAGUAGCUUGUCGUUUGAAUAUCCCAAGCAUGGACUGGUGGGACUACAGUUUGGCAAACAACGCUUCACUAGCUAGGACCGAGUAUGACGAACAAUCACAUGAUGUCUGCAUCUUGAUUAACAUGGAUACAAUAAAUUUCUCCUAAAAACAGGACUUGAGGUUGGUAUGGAUGUCCUGCUUACAUUCAAGAUGAACGUUGGCAAUGAUCUGUACAUGAUAGUUUGCUUCGAUGACAUCUGAGAGGUUUAUAGGUCCUAAUUGAGGUUGUCUUCAGUUCAUUAGUUUUUAUCUCUGCUAUGUUAGCUCUUUUGUGAGGGUCCAGUUUGCUGACCACCUUAGAAGAAACACGCACUUAGAUCAAAAGAUUUUUUUAUGUUAGGAGGUUUCCAUCCAAUCUUCUGAAGAUAGUUUGUUAAUAUAUGUGAUCAUGUACCAUGUGUUCCAUUGCAUAUGACAACAUUGUAUUGGACAUAUGUGGCCAAAGAUCUAUACUGAAACAUCUUGAGAAAUCAUCAGGGAGAAUACUAUGAAUGAGAAUGGACUAAGAAAUUGUGAUACACCUUCCUUUAGGUGCAUUUUCAUUCAGAUGGUGAUCCAGGUUUGUUGGAGCAGUACAUGCUAACCACCAAUUUGUUUUCUGAUCUUUUUAGUACAAGGCUUUACCAAACUAUCAAUUGAAGUGCAGGUCAACCAAGACUUCAUAUACAUAUGCUGAAAGAUGAAAACUAAAGACCAUGGAGAAGAUCACACCAUCUUUAUCCCAGGAAAAACAACUGCAUGGUCACUUGACUUUAUAGACAACACGCUGCACUAUUAACUUUGGUUUAAUUGAUCGACAAUGCGUCUUUGUUAUUAGUUAUAUACUAAGGAACAUGCCUAUGAGUAUAUACUUAGGCUAUGUGUGAGACCAGAUUGUUAACAUAAUACUCUUAGUGAACCCCUAAUUUAUGUUGUCCCUAUGCUUUGGGAGGUUGCAGCUGACAUCCUCGACAAAAAUACCUCCUUAACAAUCGUUCCCGCUUUUCUUUACUUGAAAUUGUUUCUCUGC